rnacentral:rRNA from 1 species
AUUGAACGCUGGCGGCAGGCUUAACACAUGCAAGUCGAACGAGUGGCGGACGGGUGAGUAAUGCUUGGGAAUCUAGCUUAUGGAGGGGGAUAACUACGGGAAACUGUAGCUAAUACCGCGUACCAUAGGAUGAGCCCAAGUGGGAUUAGGUAGUUGGUGAGGUAAAGGCUCACCAAGCAGACGAUCUCUAGCUGGUCUGAGAGGAUGACGAGCAAGAAGGGGACUGAGACACGGCCCAGAAGACGACGGGAGGCAGCAGUGGGGAAUAUGGCGCAAUGGGGGCAACCUGACGAAGCCAUGCCGCGUGAAUGAAGAAGGACUUCGGGUGGAAAAGUUAUUUCGGUAGCGAGGCGUUAACUACAGAAGAAGCACCGGCUAACUCCGUGCCAGGAGACGCGGUAAUUC